rnacentral:rRNA from 1 species
AAACAUCGCCUCUUGACUAACCAUAAGAGGUCAAGCCUGCCCAGUGACAUUGUUCAACGGCCGCGGUAUCCUAACCGUGCGAAGGUAGCGUAAUCACUUGUUCUUUAAAUGAGGACUAGUAUGAACGGCUUCACGAAUGCUAUACUGUCUCCUUUAUCCAAUCAGUUAAACUAAUCUCCCCGUGAAGAAGCGGGGAUACACCUAUAAGACGAGAAGACCCUAUGGAGCUUUAAACACUCUUAAACAUUUGAACCCUUUAUUAUUUACCUCCAGAAAACUUCACUAAACCCCCUCAUUUUGUUUAAACUUUUAGGUUGGGGCGACCACGGAGAAUAACCUAACCUCCACGUGGAAAGAAACUUAAUUCUAAGCAAAAAGCCACAUCUUUAUGCAUCAAUAUUAUUGACCUAAAUUGACCCAAUUAUUUGAUAAACGAACCAAGUUACCCUAGGGAUAACAGCGCAAUCCGCUUUAAGAGCUCCUAUCGACAAGCGGGCUUACGACCUCGAUGUUGGAUCAGGACAUCCCAGUGGUGCAGCAGCUACUAAUGGUUCGUUUGUUCAACGAUUAAAACCCU